AUCUCCUGAUUUGGGUACCACCCUCUUGCUAAGAAGUCUGGGGGAUAGACUCAGAACCAGUGAACCUCAGUGGGAUAGCAUUCAAGCUCACGUUCAGCAGCUAUUUGGGUAUCCUGCUGGUGCUCAUCCUCUUCACGUGUUCCACCCAGUACAACUGGGUUGAAGCGAGGUGGAUAGUACCCUUUACCAGGAGAGUUCCUCUGUGAUUGGGAGAUGAGAGACCUGAAGAGAGUUUUUUCCUGUGGUUCUCCGAGCUCUCAGUGGCCAAAAUCCAACACGAUUCUGCAGGGCCUGAGGUGAAGAAUUUCCCAUCUUCUGGAAUGAUGAGGCCGCCUUCCAUCUAGAAAGAUGAAGAGCUGGCUGCUCCUACUUCUUGUAGCAGGAACUAGACUUUGGGUUACGACUAGCUUGACCUCACCCCAUCUCACUGUGAUCAAGGAAGAGAAGAUCGAAGACAUCUCCCACUCGCAGCACUGCGGGUCAGAGAUGAAGAAACGAGGAAAUGAAGAUAAGAGAUUUCUGAGCCAGCAGUUAGAGCUACAACCCAAGAAUCCUGGCAUCCGGACUUGUGCGUAAUAGAUGGCGGGGCACUGAGAGGAAUAAGCCUGCUGAAAGACGUUUUCUGAAGAUGUCUGCUGUUCAGAACUAAGAAAGACGAAUUCUUCACUGAAGUUGCAAAGCAGACAGCAGAGCAAGCUUCUACUUCCGCAGACAACUGCAGACUCAUAAUCGUAUUACUUCAUUUAGUUAAUGUUGUGAGGUUAUAUUUUGAAUGACUUUAAUGAAGAUUAAACGAAGGUCUAGUAAUGUU